UAGGGAAUCUUCGGCAAUGGGGGCAACCCUGACCGAGCAACGCCGCGUGAGUGAAGAAGAUUUUCGGAUCGUAAAGCUCUGUCGUAAGAGAAGAACGUGUGUGAGAGUGGAAAGUUCACACAGUGACGGUAACUUACCAGAAAGGGACGGCUAACUACGUGCCGG
rnacentral:rRNA from 1 species